UCUUCCUUUUCUUUCUCCUCUUCCAAAACCAUCUGGCACGUGAGUGCGGGGGUAUUGAUCAAAUCCGUGUGUGCUGGUGACCCCAUGCUAAUCUAUAGCGUUGCUGGCCAUCAGUUUUGCUUAGGAAGCGCAUCUGCCUGCCCUGUUCCGUUCCCAAACAGUCCUAUGAUCCUUCCUUCAGGUUCCCCUUUGCCCCAACUCCAACCUCCAUUCAGGGGGGAAAGUUUCCCACUUGUUGGAAACGAUAAAUCUACAGGCAGCGACUGUUCUGAGCUAUAGGAAAGCCUGCUUCGAUCUGAGGUCUUUGGAAACUUUAAGAAUAGCAUGAAAAAUGUACUAAGUUUCAGCUCUUUUCGGUGGAAGGUGCCCGAAAAACUAUAUUUUUGGAAAUAUCUUUCGAAGCCGGUAUGGGAACAAAGGAAAUUUGUAUAUAUAUUUUUUUAACUCCCGGGUGUUUGCUUGAAGAGUUUUCCUGACAUCCAACCAAUUUCUUCACGGCUUCGCGCUCCACGCAAACACCUGCCCAAGAUCCCGAAAGCACUUCCCUCAACUCCUCGGUAGUAACUUUUGUUGAAAGCAAUAAACUUCCAAUUAAUCGAGCAAAUCAAAGCCUUGUAAACCGGCUCGUGAGCUUUCCUGCAGCUCGAUCCGGAAAGCACUCGAGCGGAAUUCAGUUCAAAUCGGCUCAGAGAUCCAUCUAAAUCCAACGCACAAUGAAAACCUACUCGGCAAUUCCGGCUGGAUUUGGACCUCGGCGUGGUCGGCGAUAUGGAAAAGAGAGGGAAACUUUUUAUUUUUGAUGCGGUGACUUAGCAGAGUCAAAUUCUUCGUUUUCCAUUAGCUGACUUAAAUAUAUAUAUAUAUAUAAAACUGUGUAAGAUCCUACAGCUCAGAGUAGGAGAAAUCCACGCUAUACUCAUACUGAAAGAGGUUUGUAAAAGAUCGGUUUGUAGUGGAUUUCAUGAGGUAUAUAUUUAAAUCUGCCAGCCUGAGUUGAGGAGGGUAUAACAUGAAUAAUAAGAAAUAUAAUUCAUGCAUGCUUUGUGUUUACACAUAGAUUAAAAUGUGUAUAUCUA